rnacentral:rRNA from 1 species
UGGGGAAUAUUGGACAAUGGGCGAAAGCCUGAUCCAGCAAUGCCGCGUGAGUGAUGAAGGCCUUCGGGUUGUAAAGCUCUGUCGGGAGGGACGAAAAAGGUCGGGUAACGCCGAUUAUUGACGGUACCUCCAAAGGAAGCACCGGCUAACUCUGUGCCAGCAGCCGCGGUAAUACAGAGGGUGCAAGCGUUGUUCGGAAUUACUGGGCGUAAAGCGCGUGUAGGCGGCGUCGUUAGUCGAAUGUGAAAGCCCUCGGCUCAACCGAGGAAGUGCAUCCGAUACUGCGACGCUUGAGUGUUGGAGGGGGUGGCGGAAUUCCCGGUGUAGAGGUGAAAUUCGUAGAUAUCGGGAGGAACACCUGUGGCGAAGGCGGCCACCUGGACAACAACUGACGCUGAGACGCGAAAGCGUGGGUAGCAAACAGG